AAUUAUAAAUAUUUAAAACGUUUUAUAAAGCUAAACUUUUAAAAAGUUAAGUAUUUAUAAUAUUUUGAAACUUUUUAAAGUUUCAAUCCUUACAAAAACAAAUUACCGUAGUAAAUCGGUUAACAUUCUUAAUUUUGGAUGCCUGAUAAAUCAAAAUUUCUACUCAUUCGUAUUAAGAAUCAUUUUGAUCCUUUUUAUAGUAUGACUUUGAACCACUGCCUAAUUUUUUAAGCAAUGUGGGACCUUGUACACAUAUUUUGUUUUCUUCAUCGAUUGAGUAAUGUAUGUCAGUUUUUUAAAAUUUGAAUUACAUCAUAUCCAAAAAAAUCUAACAUGUAUUAACUGUAUGUAUUUUUAUAUAAAAUCAAAAUAAAUUAGAAAUGAGAACAAAUAAAAGUGAAAGAAGAAUUUAUAUAUUUAUAUUUAAUGUAGGUAAAGAGAGUUUAGGAAAUUAGCAAUUAAUCGAAUGUAGUGCAAUAAAGAUAAAAUUUAAUUAAGGAUAUAAAUUUAAGAUAAUAUAUUCUUAGAAUAGAUUUUGUAGGGACUAAAAACUCAAUAGUAUUUACUUUUGGACAAAAAUUUUGCUGGGGGAUAUUUUGUGCAAUAACUCAAUUGUAAUUAUUCACAAAUUGGAUGUUAAGAAAGCAAAGUAUUUAUGUAAGUGUUUAAUGUUGAUUGACGAUUUGUAAGUUUUGUACUUUAAAAUAUUUUGUUUACAGAUUUUUUGUAGGGAUUAAAAACUAAAUAGUAUUUACAUAAAGGAUUUUUACAAAAGCUUCACCAAAAAUGUAUAAGUAGAUUAAGAUUACCUCAAUUCUCUAACCCAAAGGCAUGAUUCUCUGUGUUAGACACAUCCCCACCGACGACCGUUGGAUCAAACUCUGAAAACUCUUUCUCAUGACUUACAGAGCUUAUCAACUUCAAAUUAACGCAUACUCCUAAUUUCCGAAAGCAUCUGUCUAAGUUUCUUCAGUUCCAGGGUGAAAUCAUUACGAUUAUCAACCUUCAGAAGCUUUGUCAACUUAUUGACAUCUCGACGAAAGAAGCUUUGUCUCAACAAUGUCAACGCGUCUUUCCUCUCAUCUGGUUCAGGCGCAAAGCAGGUCAUGAGAAAGAGUUUUGCAUCGCAAGGAAGAUUAGGCGGAAACAAUGGCUCGUAACACUUCAUGAGAUCUUCUAGUUCAUAGUUAGUAUGCCACCAUGGUCUCUUCCCAGUGUACAUCUCCAACACAACACAUCCCAACGACCAUAAGUCAAGUCCUUUCCCUAUCUCCCCGUGAGAGAUAGACUCCGGCGACAUAUAGAUCCGUGUUCCCGCAUACGAUUUAAGAGGAUGCCACCACUUAGUGUCUCCAUCUCUUUUCGACAACCCGAAAUCAGAAAUCUUCAAUUUGUAAGAAUAUCUCCACGCGCCCUCCUUGUAGACAGAACCAGGGAAAACAAGUAUGUUCUCGGGUUUGAUAUCGUAGUGAACAUAGCCGUAUCUGUGAAUUGUGGCCAAACCCUCGAGAAGCAUACGAGUAAACUUUCUGAUCAUCGGAUCAGGCAAUUUUCUGUCGUUGAAUCGGUCCAUGAAAUUGUUCAAGCUUCCUCCGGUUGCAUACUCCAUAGGAAUCAUGUACUCUACGUAACCCUUGUCGUUAAAUCUCUGUUUUACUCCGUUACCGUAGCAUUGGACGAUUCUCGGACAGCCCUUGAAUUUAGACAGGAUCUGAAACUCUUCGUAGAGAGACUUAGCAUCAUCAGAGGUUUUCACAGUGGCGUAGAGAGUCUCACCGUCGCAUCGUCUUUUGUAACUGAAAAGUCUCACCGAUCCAAACGAACCUUUCCCAAAUACCUUUCGAACUCCAAAUCCAACGCCACCAUUGCAAAUAGAACGAUUGAUUCUUUUGAUAGCUUUUGGCAACAAAACCCUAAUUGACUGAAAUAUCUGAGAAUUUGUAAUAGCUUGGGAAUAAAGUCUCAAACAAAUAUAUAAGCCGAGAACUAACCGACUUCAUUCAUAAUUUCCUUUUUUAUUUUCUGUUUUUAAUUUAUUUACAUCGAAAUAGAUAAAAAGAUUUUCCUUUUUUUUCGGAUUAUAAGAAAGACUCAUAUAUAAGAAAGACUCAUGAUAACUCAUAAUCAUUUUGUGCUCGAAUUCAAUAUUAUCCAUUUCUAUUUCUAUAUUUGAUGAAAGGAUAAUACACAUCUCCAUUAACAAAGUGAUCCCUC
rnacentral:sRNA from 1 species